UACGAAGGGGGCUAGCGUUGUUCGGAUUUACUGGGCGUAAAGCGCACGUAGGCGGGUCGUUAAGUCGGGGGUGAAAUCCUGGAGCUCAACUCCAGAACUGCCUUCGAUACUGGCGACCUAGUGUCCGGAAGAGGUGAGUGGAACUCCUAGUGUAGAGGUGGAAUUCGUAGAUAUUAGGAAGAACACCAGUGGCGAAGGCGGCUCACUGGGCCGGUACUGACGCUGAGGUGCGAAAGCGUGGGGAGCAAACAGG
rnacentral:rRNA from 1 species